AAACUUUCAACAACGGAUCUCUUGGUUCCGGCAUCGAUGAAGAACGCAGCGAAUUGCGAUAAGUAAUGUGAAUUGCAGAAUUCCGUGAAUCAUCGAAUCUUUGAACGCACAUUGCGCCCCCUGGAAUUCCGGGGGGCAUGCCUGUCCGAGCGUCAUUUCUGCCCUCC
rnacentral:rRNA from 1 species